AGAGCAAUUACUUUAUAUAAUAUCUAUUUCACAUAGGGUUAUUUCGCAGAUUGUGAAAGAAUUUGUGUUCAGCACAGUGUCGGGAACAUAGUAUGUCCCUAAUGAAUCUUAACCAUUAUCAUUAUAAUUACUAUUAUUUUUGCAGCAACAAAAGUAGCAUGCUGGUGCUCCCAGACCAGUGUCAACCAAGGGCAGGAAAUAAAAAGAAUCUCUAGAAGGGAACGCAGUAAAAGACCAAUGAGAAGAAAAGAACGGUGGAUUUACUCUAGAUCAUCCAGAAGGCUCCUAAAAUAACCACUGUGACUACACGGGAAGACGAUGAAGCUUGGGCCCCAUCUUUCACCAAAGACAUUGAUAACUGCUACGAGGUCAUCAGAUCCCAGCGUCCCUCUUUCUCUCCAAGUUGUGUGUCUAACUUCACAAACAUAAAUAUCUUAGAAUUGACUACUGUAAGGUAAGAAAGGAGACAGAGAGGCUAUCAAACCCUUCUUCUCUCAUAUUAAUCUCCUCCUUUACAGGAAAGGUAACAGAGGCACAUAGCAGAGGUUAAGCGGCUUAGAAUCAGAGAACCAUUAACCUGAGUGAGUGUGAGUGUGAAGAUUUUUAGCUCAAAAUGAGCUAUGCCUGUAGCUGGUCCCUUGUCACUGAAAUAACGAAACAAAAAAUUUUAAAUCAGAAUUAAUCUCCUACAGUCCCAUAAGUAAGAAAGCUUUGAAUCAGUGGGAAAGAAACCCUGAGGAAUCUCUGGAAAAUAUAAAAAAGAUGACAUGGCCUUGCUGGGAAAACCAAUCAGAGCUGAGACGUGUUACCCAGAUUCACUCAAAAGAAGGAAUAGAGUGGCUAGACAAGUGGUUUUGCAACAAAGGUCAGAAAAUCCCCAAAGGUCAGAGACGGUAGGGGUUAGGAACAGAAGCGGGAGCAGACAGUGAUCUGGGGACAGCGUCCAGCUGUGCAGAUGUGUGCUGCUCUGCUCACAGACAAUGAUGGACACUGUGGAACUAGCAUUAGACAGAAAGGAUUUCUGGCGUGCCUUUGGUCUUUGCAGUUGAGGGGUAUUACUACGGAUUUGGGAGCUAGAGUGAGCCGAUUUCAAGAAGGGAACGAGGUUGUCCAGGACAUCACAGCAGCUGUGGAAGUUUGCGUCAUAAUGGAGGCAAUGUACAGAGAAAUCCGUAUAGAGAGCUUAAUUUGGAACGCUGGAAUGCAAAUAUGAUAAAUGUAACAAAGAACAAAUGUUCGGUAAACACGCAAAACUUAUCAAAUGAAUACAAUGUCUGGCAUUUGAAUAAAAGAUUUUCUGUGUGCUUAUUCA
rnacentral:lncRNA from 1 species